UACAGGGGGUGCAAGCGUUAAUCGGAAUUACUGGGCGUAAAGCGCGCGUAGGUGGUUUGUUAAGUUGGAUGUGAAAGCCCCGGGCUCAACCUGGGAAUUGCAUCCAAAACUGGCAGACUAGAGUACGGUAGAGGGUGGUGGAAUUUCCUGUGUAGCGGUGAAAUGCGUAGAUAUAGGAAGGAACACCAGUGGCGAAGGCGACCACCUGGACUGAUACUGACGCUGAGGUGCGAAAGCGUGGGGAGCAAAC
rnacentral:rRNA from 1 species